UAUUUGGCCUUGGCACUGGAGAAAAGGCUCCUAGAAUUCAGAUGGCUUCUUCUGGACCCUCAUUUGCUUCUACUGGAAGGUCGAAUUCGUAGUGUUCAGGAUGAUCUGACAGUUACCUAGGAGAGGUUAGGAAAUGAGGCGCCCUGUGACCAUCCUGGAUUUUUCCGAGCCGAGACAACAGAAGACCCCAGAGAUUGGAAAACGAGCUGUCCAGUGCGAAGCCCACCUUUUGACCACAAGAAGGAAAAGCACGAAGGGCCGGGCCCCAGACGGCCCAUUCCGGGCACCCCCCAAACUCCUCGUCCUCCCAUCCUCCAGUUGGCAGCCACAGUGUACCGGCAGUUCUGAGGGGCCGCCCUUUUGGGCCUUCCAAGGACCCACCCAGCGAGGACUCUGUAAAGCGCAGAAGGCGGCGCUGCAGAAAACAAAAACGUGGACUCUCCAGGAGGCGCAGUCACAAAACGCUAGUCCCAACCCGAUUCCUCCAGUUCCUGAGAGACCGUCAGCUCCGGCCCCGCAGCCACUGCGCCCUCCUGUCCCCAUAGUCUUCUGGCUCCAGCAGGACCACAUGUCCUCCUCACCUGAUGGCCUGAAGACAAAAGAAAGCCGAACUUCGGACCCACGCGGCUCCACACACAGGACGAGGUUAGCCUUCCCACCUGGGACCCUGCGGUGAUAAGCUGUGGGUCAGGCCACGCCCCAGCCAUCUAUGAUUGGCUGAUGGAUCCCAGGCCCGCCCCUUCGCCCCUACCCCCUGCUUUGUCUUGUAGGCUUGAGCCCUUGGUCUCACUUCUACUCAAGACCUCUCCCCUGCCUCAGUAUCUUGAUGAUGUCAUAACAGAGCCGCCUACAUAGACCCUGGUCUCUCCCAUUAUUCUUGUGCUGAGGAUCCACUUCCCUUCUUCCCAAGUUUUCUCACUUCUCCAAGGUAACUGGGACCUCUAAAUAAGCAAACACUUCUUUCCCAGUUAGCUUCCAACAUGUGGAACUGACUUUUUAU